UUUUUUUUUUUUUUUUUUUUUAAUAACACUAUUACUUUUUAGCUUUAGCUUGAUAAAAAUAUAUAGGAAGGAAAGUAUAACAA
rnacentral:ribozyme from 12 species